rnacentral:rRNA from 1 species
CGCCCCUUAAGAGUUUGAUACCUGGCUCAGGACGAACGCUGGCGGCGUGCUUAACACAUGCAAGUCGAACGGAAAGGCCCUUCGGGGUACUCGAGUGGCGAACGGGUGAGUAACACGUGGGUGAUCUCCCCUGCACUUUGGGAUAAGCCUGGGAAACUGGGUCUAAUACCGAAUAGG